rnacentral:rRNA from 1 species
GAUGAACGCUGGCGGCGUGCCUAAUACAUGCAAGUCGAGCGCACAGAUGCGGAGCUUGCGCCUCUGAUGUUAGCGGCGGACGGGUGAGUAACACGUGGAUACCCUCCUUAUAAGUCUGGGAUAACCUCGGGAAACCGGAUCAUAUAGCGUAUAAUAUAUUACACCGCAUGGUUCAAUAGUGAAAGAUGGCUUUGCUUUCACUUAUUGAUGGAUUCGCACCGCAUUAGCUAGUUGGUAAGUUAACGGCUUAACAAGGCAAUGAUGCCUAGCCGAGCUGAGCGGGGGUUGGCCGACACUGGAGGUGAGCCACGGCCCAGACACUUAGGGGAGGCACCAGUAGGUAAGCGUGCGCGAUGGGGGAAAGACUGACGGAGCGACGCAGGGUGAGUGAUGAAGGUCUUCGGGUCGUAAAACGCUGUUAUUGGGGAAGACCAAUUGUGUAAGUAACGAUGCACGUCGUGACGGUACCUAAUCAAAAAGCGACGGCUAACUACGUG